AUACGGAGGGUCCGAGCGUUAUCCGGAAUUAUUGGGUUUAAAGGGUCCGUAGGCGGGCGAUUAAGUCAGUGGUGAAAGUCUGCAUCUCAACUGUAGAAUUGCCUUUGAUACUGAUCGUCUUGAGUUAUAGUGAAGUUGCCGGAAUAUGUAGUGUAGCGGUGAAAUGCAUAGAUAUUACAUAGAACACCGAUUGCGAAGGCAGGUGACUAACUGUAUACUGACGCUGAUGGACGAAAGCGUGGGGAGCGAACAGGAUUAGAAACCCUAGUAGUCA
rnacentral:rRNA from 1 species